rfam:Streptococcus pneumoniae TIGR4, complete genome.
AAGCAGCACACCUAAUGAAUUUAAAGAUUCUUUAAAGAGUCUUAUUUUGUGAUGAAAAUUUAAUAUGUAAAUCUCAGACGAUAGAAAUUAAAAACUCUAUCGUCUUUUUU